rnacentral:tRNA from 1 species
GAGGAGGUGGCUGAGUGGUUGAAAGGCGGCAAUUUGCUAAAUUGUUAUAUAUUUUCGAUGUAUAUCAUAGGUUCGAAUCCUAUCCUUUUCA